rnacentral:rRNA from 1 species
UACGUAGGGAGCGAGCGUUGUCCGGAUUCAUUGGGCGUAAAGAGCUCGUAGGCGGCUUGGUAAGUCGGAUGUGAAACCUCCAGGCUCAACCUGGAGUCGCCAUCCGAUACUGCUAUGGCUAGAGUCCGGUAGGGGCCCACGGAAUUCCUGGUGUAGCGGUGAAAUGCGCAGAUAUCAGGAGGAACACCGAUGGCGAAGGCAGCUCGCUGGGACGUGACUGACGCUGAGACGCGAAAGCGUGGGGAGCAAACAGG